rnacentral:tRNA from 1 species
GGACUCGUAGCUCAGCUUGGACAGAGCGAAAGCCUUCUAAGCUUUAGGUCCAGGGUUCGAAUCCCUGCGGGUCCG